GGCGUGCUAUACCUCCAAGUCGAGCGGACAGAAGGGAGCUUGCUCCCGGAUGUAGCGGCGGACGGGUGAGUAACACGUGGGUAACCUGCCUGUAAGACUGGGAUAACUCCGGGAAACCGGAGCUAAUACGGAAUAGUUCCUUGAACCGCAUGGUUCAAGGAUGAAAGACGGUUUCGGCUGUCACUUACAGAUGGACCCGCGGCGCAUUAGCUAGUUGGUGAGGUAACGGCUCACCAAGGCGACGAUGCGUAGCCGACCUGAGAGGGUGAUCGGCCACACUGGGACUGAGACACGGCCCAGACUCCUACGGGAGGCAGCAGUAGGGAAUCUUCCGCAAUGGACGAAAGUCUGACGGAGCAACGCCGCGUGAGUGAUGAAGGUUUCGGAUCGUAAAGCUCUGUUGUUAGGGAAGAACAAGUGCAAGAGUAACUGCUUGCACCUUGACGGUACCUAACCAGAAAGCCACGGCUAACUACGUGCCAGCAGCCGCGGUAAUACGUAGGUGGCAGCGUUGUCCGGAAUUAUUGGGCGUAAAGGGCUCGCAGGCGGUUUCUUAAGUCUGAUGUGAAAGCCCCCGGCUCAACCGGGGAGGGUCAUUGGAAACUGGGAAACUUGAGUGCAGAAGAGGAGAGUGGAAUUCCACGUGUAGCGGUGAAAUGCGUAGAGAUGUGGAGGAACACCAGUGGCGAAGGCGACUCUCUGGUCUGUAACUGACGCUGAGGAGCGAAAGCGUGGGGAGCGAACAGGAUUAGAUACCCUGGUAGUCCACGCCGUAAACGAUGAGUGCUAAGUGUUAGGGGGUUUCCGCCCCUUAGUGCUGCAGCUAACGCAUUAAGCACUCCGCCUGGGGAGUACGGUCGCAAGACUGAAACUCAAAGGAAUUGACGGGGGCCCGCACAAGCGGUGGAGCAUGUGGUUUAAUUCGAAGCAACGCGAAGAACCUUACCAGGUCUUGACAUCCUCUGACAACCCUAGAGAUAGGGCUUUCCCUUCGGGGACAGAGUG
rnacentral:rRNA from 1 species